UACGUAGGGCGCAAGCGUUGUCCGGAAUUAUUGGGCGUAAAGAGCUCGUAGGCGGCCUGUUGCGUCCGCUGUGAAAUCCCGGGGCUCAACCCCGGGCCUGCAGUGGAUACGGGCUGGCUGGAGGCAGGCAGGGGAGAACGGAAUUCCUGGUGUAGCGGUGAAAUGCGCAGAUAUCAGGAGGAACACCUGCGGUGUAGACGGCUUACUGGACCAUAACUGACGCUGAGGCACGAAAGCGUGGGUAGCAAACAGG
rnacentral:rRNA from 1 species